CGUCUUUGAAACACGGCAUGUGUUUUACACUUACAGCACAUCUCACUUUGGACUAGCCACUUUCCACGCAUUCCAUGCACCUGUACACACACUGGCAGACGUGGCAGGCAGGCACCUUACCAGACACGAGGACAUGGGGGUAUAGUUACCCCCACCAGAAACUGGUAACAGCAGUUGCCUCUGGAAAGAAGAACCUCUGUGGGGGUGGGGGGUAAAAGGGAGAAUUAUUUUUCAUUCUAUAUACUUUUUCGUGCUUUCUUAAUUUUAUGCCUUGUGUAUGUAGGUAUUGCCUUUCCGGAUGAAAAUGAAUAAUUUGUACAGCACUUUUUUACAGUAACUUCUUAUUCACUCUAGAGACAAAUAGGGACCGAUGAUUCAUGCAGCAUGAAGACAAUUAUCAGCGACGAAUGACUCCUUCCUAUUCCUCUUACUCUUGUCAUUGUUUAGUAAUGUAAAGAAUCUGUCUCAGAGAAGUGACCGUAGAGCAAUGAUGUGCUCUGAGAGAAUGAAGUCAGGCUAGGGAAAUACUCCUAAACCGGGGAGAUCAGUCAAACUAGAAAUGGGGUUUUGUAACAAAUUUAUAGCUGAGUGAGUGGAAUACACAAUGACCUUACCUGGUGGGGAUCUUCUCAAACAUUCCCACCAUAAACUCAUGCAGGUCAACAGAGCAGGAAAUUGGGGGGUUUGGGGGGAGGUGGCGCACACGUGAAGGCAAAGACAGGAAGAAGGGAACAGGAAGGACAGGUGAAGAAAGAUGAGAUUUCCAUAAACAGGAAAUAACCGUAUGGUCACUUUACCUCUUAAAUCUUAUGCGGAGACAAGCAGAAAACCCCACUCCCAACCAAGAGAGAGGACCUACCUUCCCUCAUCCGGCUUAAUCCUGAUAAAUACCCAACUCAGGGGCUGCAGAAUGCAUCUAUAUAAAGGGAAACUAAUUUAUGAAUCAGGCUGCCACGUGGGAUCAAGGAAGGUACUUGGUGUUCAGGAAGAAACAGCACUGAAGCAGUAAUGCAGGGCCCAGAAAGAAAAGUCACCCGACCCCAGGAAAGUCACUGAGCUUUGCCGAAGCACCACCAAGACUUUUCUCACCUACCUCCUCAAUGUGGUGAAGAGUAGAGGAGGUACCGGGGCAUCUGGGUGGCUCAGUCUAAGCGUCUGACUUCUGGUCAGGUCAUGAUCUCACCGAUGGUGGGUUGGAGCCUCGUGUAGGACCUCAGGUACGGCUCUGUGCUGACAGCUCGGAGCCUGGAGCCUGCUUUGGAUUCUGUGUCUCCCUCUUUCCCUGCCCCUCCCUUGCUCAUGCUCUAUCUCUCAAAAUAAAUAAACAUUAAAAAAUUUUAUUAAAAAAAAA
rnacentral:lncRNA from 1 species